rnacentral:lncRNA from 1 species
GCCAAAUGUGGCUUGCGGUCCGUCUAAAUAAGAGCAGUGCGGACGCUGUCUUGAGCGUGUAAAGUGUUGUGAUGGCAUUAAUGCCUUUGAAAAGGAUGCCUGAAAUUGCAUGGGGUUUAACAAAUACAACUUUUGGAAUAUGGAGACAGAAUAGCUCUUUCUGCAUGUAUCAAAUGUCACAGAACUUCCUUGCUCCAGAAUUGCCUUGUCGUGGAAAGAAAAUAUGGCUCCAGGAAGAUGGAGUAGGAUCACCUAACUACCAAAGAGUCCGAGACUGUAUUUCAACAAAUACUCGUAUUUCCCGCUCGUGUGAUUUGAGAAAGAGGAAAUGUUCCAUGGCUAGCGUGUUCUUCAGACGUGUCAAUAUGCGACUUGUUUUCUUUAGACUUUUCUAAAGUAUCAAGUGUGCAUAAAUAAACCUCGGAAACAGACUCAAAAUAGCAUUACAGGAAACAGCUACAUCUAUACAAGUCGAAGCCGGGGAAUAGUUCUUGAGAAUCUGUUGUUCCAGCUAGAUGGGAAAACAUCACGUACUGUCAGAGAAUGUAUUUCAUCAGUUAUCUCUCGGUCUUAUGGUUUUUAAAUAAUGAAAUGUUCCAUGGCCGGCAUGUACUCCAAACGUGACAACAUAUGGCUUGUUUCUUUUGGGGCUAUCUGUAUUUCAAGUAUGAGUAUAUUAGCCUCGAAAAAUUGACGGACUCGGUGUAAUAUUACAGGAAAGAGCUAUAUCUAUGUCAAUGAACGUCACGGAAUAGAUCUUGAGAAUCUAUGGUACCUGCAAGAUGGACCAAUAUCACAUUGCCAGAGACGACAUUUCAACCACUAUUUCUUUCUCAUGGGAUUUCUGAAAAGAGGAGAUACCCCAUGGAAGGAUUGUCAGUAGGCGAUUUAUUUUCGUAGGGUCUCAAGUGUCAUAUUUCGUAUCAAGUCUCAAGUGUGCGUGAAUACACAUCGGAGAGAUUUAAAGUAACAUUACAGGAAAUAAUUAUAGCUGUUCGAUCAGCAUGAACUAAAGAGAGAUGCAAAACUUGUGUGACAGAUUCGAGAAGUUCUGUAACAAUGGCCAAGAGUAUUUAAAAAUACAUUUUAUACAAAAAAAAAAUAAAAGGCUGACAAGAAAUAAUACUCUGUUAUAACUAAUAUUAUAACAAACUGCAUUAUUAAUUCUGUUAUUUUAUAAAAUAUAUAAACAUUUGAUAAACAUUUGACUUAAAUUUUAUUCAAUCUCAAAAUCGUCAGAUUAUUUUGGUCGGCAUCCGUGGUAUCGAUUUUUAUUAUUUUUUUAUUUUGAGAUUUCUUAGAAAUGCUUUUUAAAAAUAUAGCUGAAUUAAAAGGACUAUUAAAAUUUUUUGCUUAAAAUUGAAAAAAAGAAAGACCUUGUCGUUCCGUUCUAAGUGGUGACAUGUUAUUAUCAACUGCAUUCUAAAUGCAUGCGACACUUUUUAGUGCAGCAAAUACGAAAAAUUAACUGUGCCUUCACCAGAAAAACUACGAAUCUUCCAAUUGCUAGUUGGACGGGCUUAUCGCUUUACUUUCAGUAUUACUGACAUAUGCGAAUUGAAGAAGGGCAACAAGUGAGGUAGCGGAAGUUCUGCUUUUUUGGAAUUUAUUCGCCUGUUCCACUGAAGGUUUCUGGAAAAUGGAAGAACAGCUCUCAUAAGAUAUCCAAAAUUUCUGUUAUAUCUAAUUGCAGUAAAAUUACUAUAUAUAUGAAAAUAAAUUCAUUUGAUCGAAUCAAAA